rnacentral:rRNA from 1 species
UACGGAGGGGGCUAGCGUUGUUCGGAAUUAUUGGGCGUAAAGGGCGCGUAGGCGGCCUGGCAAGUGGAAGGUGAAAUCCCUCGGCUUAACCGAGGAACUGCCCUCCAAACUGCUUGGCUUGAGUCCGGGAGAGGUGAGUGGAAUUCCCAGUGUAGCGGUGAAAUGCGUAGAUAUUGGGAGGAACACCAGUGGCGAAGGCGGCUCACUGGACCGGAACUGACGCUGAUGCGCGAAAGCGUGGGGAGCAAACGGG